UACGUAGGGUGCAAGCGUUGUCCGGAAUUAUUGGGCGUAAAGAGCUCGUAGGCGGUUUGUUGCGUCGGCUGUGAAAUCCCGAGGCUCAACCUCGGGUCUGCAGUCGAUACGAGCAAACUAGAGUGUUGCAGGGGAGACUGGAAUUCCUGGUGUAGCGGUGAAAUGCGCAGAUAUCAGGAGGAACACCGGUGGCGAAGGCGGGUCUCUGGGCAACAACUGACGUUGAGGAGCGAAAGCGUGGGGAGCGAACAGG
rnacentral:rRNA from 1 species